rnacentral:rRNA from 1 species
UAGGGAAUCUUCGGCAAUGGGGGCAACCCUGACCGAGCAACGCCGCGUGAGUGAAGAAGGUUUUCGGAUCGUAAAGCUCUGUUUUAAGAGAAGAACUUGUGUGAGAGUGGAAAGUUCACACAGUGACGGUAACUUACCAGAAAGGGACGGCUAACUACGUGCCAGCAGCCGCGGUAAUACGUAGGUCCCGAGCGUUGUCCGGAUUUAUUGGGCGUAAAGCGAGCGCAGGCGGUUUAAUAAGUCUGAAGUUAAAGGCAGUGGCUUAACCAUUGUUCGAUUUGGAAACUGUUAAACUUGAGUGCAGAAGGGGAGAGUGGAAUUCCAUGUGUAGCGGUGAAAUGCGUAGAUAUAUGGAGGAACACCGGUGGCGAAAGCGGCUCUCUGGUCUGUAACUGACGCUGAGGCUCGAAAGCGUGGGGAGCAAACAGG